CCCCACCAUGCCCACGUUCCAUGCAGGAAGAAAAAAAGAAGAAAGGAUAUUGGACAACUGAGAUCUCUGCUAAAAAUCAACAUCCUAUUAGCUAUGUCGUUUAAUUUUUUAACAAAGCUAUUUAAAAAAGCAUCUCCCUAAAAAUAUGAACAACUAAAUACUUGAUCUCAGGUGCCUCCUUAGCACAGUAGGCAGUGCGUCAGUCUCAUAAAUACUACGCUCUCUCCUCAAAAUAAGGUACUACAGAGGCAGCGAUAAACAAGAUCAAAACUGCUAUCCUUUUGGGCUAACUUCACUGCAAUAAGUCAACACUGCAGAGAAGGAAAAGGUCAUAAACACUCAUUCUGCCCACAUUCUCUAGUCCCAGCCCCAUAAGUUUUUAAACCAUGUGGAAUAUACUUUAUACAUCAGAUAAGCUCCUUAGGACAGGGUUCUGCACACUAGUAUGAGAACUAGAGAGAGAACAUGCUGGACAUGAGGACGUCAGACAGAGAAUCAAUAGGACCUUCCACAGGAGGUCCAAGAAGACAGCCUCUCGAAUGACCCAGGUCUCUAUUUGCGAUCCAACUUCCAAGCAAGAUCUGCACAAGCAGGAAGAAUGAGAAAAGAAGUUCAGAAAAGUCUGUAGGUGGAGGAUACCCAACUUUGCAAAUACAGGGAUGUCCCUCAGCUCUAAGAAGACUUCAUGGAGAAAAGCCCUUCAACAGGACACAUGCCAAGGGAGGAAUCUUCUUCAAAACAGGGUCUUGGUUGGCCAUCUCUAGCCACUAAGCCAGCCACUGAAUUUAUGUUUGCUAGGGUUUUUUGUAUUUUUUGUGGUUUUUUUUUUCUUUUCAAAGAAACACUAAACACCAGGGGUCCGCUAAGAACUGCACUGGUUACCGAAUUCAAGGUUCAGUUUUCUUGUUGACCCAACAAUUAUUAUGAUGACUAUUCUUUCUCCCCAGCGGUUACUUUGUUGUUACUGUUUUUUUAAUCACCACUAGUUCUCUUUCACCUUAAUUUCUAAACUGUGGUAGUAUCCUGUGUUAAGAGAACGUGGCCUUUAUAAUUUCUUCUUGGCGAAGAAGGGGAAGGAGAAGAGGAUGAUGAUGAUGAUGAAGAAGAAGAAGGAUUGGAAGAUAUUGAUGAAGAAGGAGAUGAGGAUGAAGGUGAAGAAGAUGAAGAUGAUGAUGAGGGGGAGGAAGGAGAGGAGGAUGAAGGAGAAGAUGACUAAUGGAACACUGAUGGAUUCCAACCUUCCUUUUUUAAUUUUCUUCAGUCCCUGGGAGCAAGUUGCCGUCUUUUUUUUUUUUCCUUUUUCUUUUUCUUUUCUCCUCACGUGCUCAUUCACCCUGUUUUUUGAAGUCUCCUUCUUCUCUCCCUUUAUACCAUGGUUCUCAGCUUAUUUUGGGGGGAAAUACCUUGAGCAGAAUAUAGUGGGAAAAGAAUCUCUACCCCUUUUUGUUCCAAAUUCAUUUUUGUCCCUUCCUGUCUCAACAAAAACAAAAACUUUAUGGAAUCAACACCACCGUGCUCUGUGGGAAAAAAGAAAAACCUUCUGCUCCCUUAGCUCUGCUGGAAGCUGGAGGGUGCUAGGCCCCUGUGUGGUAGUGCA